rnacentral:tRNA from 1 species
GCCUGGGUGGCUCAGUCGGUUAAGCGUCUGACUUCAGCUCAGGUCAUGAUCUCGCAGUUUGUGAGUUCAAGCCCCACAUCGAGCU